UUUGGAGGCCACAUACACCUUUUCACCAUAUUUGAGUGUAAUAAACACAAAAAUAAAGGGAAUAACCCAAAACAAAAACCAGAACUGAAAUGUUUUUAUUUCAAGAAGAAAUAUUUUCUUAAAAAACCCUUGGAGUUAAUACAAAAAUAAUGGCAAACUCAAACUAAUCAAAGAAGCUGUAUUUCUGUUAAUAAGGGAAGCAUUACACUAAGAGUAAUAAUAAACUUACACCUCUGCUCAGUUACUGUGGCCCUCUGAUUUGUUUUUUGUUCACGUUCUUUUUCUUUUUGCUUGUGCAAUCAGAUCAUGGUCCCUUUAUUCUCCUUUUCUCUGAGAACUGAAUUAUUUCAUAAUCUCUCUCUUGGCUCAGAUCUGGAUAAGGUUCUGGCAAGAGACUUCUUCCCAAAGUUGGAUCGCCCCACAGAGGCCACGACAGAUGAUGAUCAAGCAGGACUUUGAGCCCGGGCUUCUGGAAAUGUGAGGCAGUAUACCUGCAAGGCCAAGCUGGUGUCCAAAAUUUAAGGGAAUGACUCACAAGAGAAACGAACACUGGAAAAAUAUGUUAAUUUUAGUGGUGUGCAAGUCUUUCCAGUCUUCUAGAAUUUUCCCUACAUACUUGCCAGUAUUACAAGUUGAAUGGCUUGAGUUUGGAAAGAAGCGGCCUGUGCUGGCAUAGACUUGGAUCACAUUUACUGCACCACAGCACAGGCAAAGCCAAGCACAUUGUUUGAAGUCUGCUUAUAGAUAACAGGUGAGUGGACGUGUUUUAUUAACAAACAUUAUGUCUUUUUAUG